rnacentral:rRNA from 1 species
UAAUAAGCGGAGGAAAAGAAACUAACAAGGAUUUCCUUAGUAGCGGCGAGCGAACAGGAAAUAGCCCAGCACUGAAUCCCGCGGUGCAGCCGCAGGGAAAUGUAGUGUUCGGGAGGAUCCGCUUAUCCCGAGGCGUAGGACCGCGUCCAAGUCCAUCUUGAAUGGGGCCACUUACCCGUAGAGGGUGCCAGGCCCGUAGCGACCGGGACGCGUCUCGGGUGGAUCUCUCCUUAGAGUCGGGUUGCUUGAGAGUGCAGCUCUAAGUGGGUGGUAAACUCCAUCUAAGGCUAAAUAUGACCACGAGACCGAUAGCGAACAAGUACCGUGAGGGAAAGUUGAAAAGAACUUUGAAGAGAGAGUUCAAGAGUACGUGAAACCGUUCAGGGGUAAACCUGAGAAACCCGAAAGAUCGAAUGGGGAGAUUCAUCGUCAGCGACGUUGGCUUCGCGUCGGUCGUCGCGAUGCUCGGAGGGCCUCGGUCCUCCGGCACGCCGCCGUCGCGCAUGUCCGGCGUUCGUCGUCGUGCACUUCUCCCCUAGUAGGACGUCGCGACCCGUUGGGUGUCGGACUACGGCCCGGGUGGGCGCCUGUCCCGUCGCUUUGGCGGUCACGUGGCAGACCCCCGGUCGCCCGUCCGGCUGCUCGGCGGUACUCGUACGGUAUACGGCCGCAGGUCGGCCUCUGGUCGACGCUGCGUUCGGCCCGUCGCAAGCGCGGUCAGCAUGCCUCCGGUGGUUACGGACCUAGUGCCGUCCCCGGGCCUGGCCCGCUGCUGGCUGACGGUGCCCUCGAACUGGCCGCCGCGCGUCCCGUGCCCUCUCCCCCGGUGUAUACCGGGUGCUGGGAGCGGUACGGGGCCGCAUACCGGUCGGCGACGCUAUUGCUUUGGUACUCUCAGGACCCGUCUUGAAACACGGACCAAGAGUCUAACAUGUGCGCGAGUCAUUGGGAUUUAGCAAACCUAAAGGCGAAAUGAAAGUGAAGGUAGGCCUUAGCGCCGACCUAGGGAGGAUGGGCCGCGUUACGCAUGCGGCCCCGCACUCCCGGGGCGUCUCGUUCUCAUUGCGAGAGGAGGCGCACCCAGAGCGUACACGUUGGGACCCGAAAGAUGGUGAACUAUGCCUGGUCAGGACGAAGUCAGGGGAAACCCUGAUGGAGGUCCGUAGCGAUUCUGACGUGCAAAUCGAUCGUCGGAACUGGGUAUAGGGGCGAAAGACUAAUCGAACCAUC